AGGAUACAGCAAGAUCAGGAAGAAAUCCCUGAAUCUCUGAGUUGCAUGAUCAAAGACUCGCUCAAAACCAAAGCAAAAUCAAACUGAUAUGUUCUUAACUUUCACCAAAAUAUUUCAACAUACUAUCUCAAAAAUAUUCAGGCUUUUCUGAGCUCAAAAGACUUCUGUGAAUUAAAAAGAAGGUUGUCCCUUAAGAGUACAAGGCAAUGUAACAAGCUCUACGAUGAGUGAACAGACUUCAUGAAAACAUGGCAUACCCAUCACUAUAGAAUUUUAGCAUCACCAAAAGUUAAAAUUAAAAAUACACUUACAGAGAGAGGAGGUACGAUCUCUUACUUCUUCAUAUCAUUCUCCUCUCUCUAGAGCCAAAUUGAACUUACAUAAAGAGAGAGUGUGUGAUGGGUCAUGGUUAUAAUGUACCACAUCAUCAUACGAAAUAUGCCUCUCAUGUGAUGUCAGCACAUCACAACCAUGUGUCAAUUAACAAGUGAAUUUAGAAAGAAGAGAGAAAAGAUGGCGCCACUUGUGGCCCAAGCACCAAAAAAACAAACUCCAAAGGGUUAACCAACUAAAAAGUGAAAAAAUUAGAAAAACGAAUGCGGUCCCUAAGUACCAGCCUUAGCAAAGUGGUCCCAGAAAAAUAAAAAGAGGUAGAAAAGGAAUGUUUAUUUUGAAACUAAAAUAUAGAUAGACAUAAUAGGGCAAAUAUUCAAAAUAAAAACUACAAAACAUUCUGCAAUUAAACAACAAAAAAACACACCAAAAGAAGAUCAACAAUAUCCACAAAUGGAGUGAAGCAUUCUUAAUCCAACUAAAAAUAAGCAAUGGAGAAUUCAAUAACAAAUAAGCAAACAAAACCAGCAUCAAGCAGGGACCAUCAAAAAAAUCACCAUGAAAUCUGUGUGGUUGAUAAAAAAAAUAGAGUAAAAUCAAUAACAAUAAUAAAAUCCGAAAUCAUUUUCAAAGAAUGGGUAUAUUUGGUGGGGUUAUUCUACUGAUUUCAUGCUUCAUUAUACUGAGAGAAAGGAGAGAGAGAGAGAGAGAGAGAGAGUUACCUUGGCGUAGAGAAAAGGCAGCGGCGGGGAUUUAUCCGUGCUGUGGGCGAGACAGCGAAGAGAGAGAUGGCUGCUCUGGGCAGAGAAAGGGCAGCGGCGAGGAUUUAUCCGUGCUCUGGGCGAGACAGCGAAGAGAGAGAUGGCUGCUCUGAGAGAGAGCAGAUGGAAGCUAGAGCAGCUGGCGAUGGCGUCUGCAGCGAAAAGUGCGCGUGUGAGAGUGAGGGAGAUGGGAAAAUGAAUGGGGAAGUGGUUUCC
rnacentral:lncRNA from 1 species